rnacentral:misc_RNA from 1 species
GUAGGUGAACCUGCGGAAGGAUCAUUAAAAGGUAUCUGCCCUCCUGGCCGUUAAAAAAGCCAGCGAGAGGUAGUCCCAGAUCAACCACAGUGCGCACAUAUUGAAGUUUUCUUUGCUUUUGGUAGGCGUCGUUCAAAGAAUUUUCAUUUAUUUUUUUUGAACGAUUCUACCAUAAGUAAUGCCCAAUAUCAAUAUAAGCCUUAUUUUGUGACUGAAAUUUUUUUUUAAAAUAAAAAUACAACUUUCAACA